GCUUACGGCCACACCACCCUGAGCGCGCCCGAUCUCGUCUGAUCUCGGAAGCUAAGCAGGGGUCGGGCCUGGUUAGUACUUGGAUGGGAGACCGCCUGGGAAUACCAGGUGCCGUAAGCU
rnacentral:rRNA from 1 species